rnacentral:tRNA from 1 species
UGAGGAUAUAGCUCAUUUGGUAGAGUGCUUGCCUCACAUGUACAAAGACCUGCGUUCUAUUCCCAGUACCACAA